rnacentral:rRNA from 1 species
AGCCGGCUCCCGCAAGGCUUGAUGUCGAGGUGCUGCAUGGCUGUCUUCAGCUCGUGUCGUGAGAUGUGGGUUAAGUCCCGCAACGAGCGCAACCCUUGUCCGCUGUUGCCAUCACGUUAUGGUGGGCACUCUGCGGAGACUGCCGGUGAUAAACCGGAGGAAGGUGGGGAUGACGUCAAGUCAGCAUGGCCUUUAUGUCUGGGGCUACACACGUGCUACAAUGGCCGGUACAAACCGUCGCGAUACCGCAAGGUGGAGCUAAUCGGAGAAAGCCGGUCUCAGUUCGGAUUGCAGGCUGCAACUCGCCUGCAUGAAGUUGGAAUCGCUAGUAAUCGCGGAUCAGCACGCCGCGGUGAAUACGUUCCCGGGCCUUGUACACACCGCCCGUCACAUCACGAAAGCUGGCUGUACUAGAAGUCACUGAGCUAACCCGCGAGGGAGGCAAGUGCCUAAGGUAUGGUCAGUGAUU